UUGGAGGGCAAGUCUGGUGCCAGCAGCCGCGGUAAUUCCAGCUCCAAUAGCGUAUAUUAAAGUUGUUGCAGUUAAAAAGCUCGUAGUUGAAUUUCGGGAUCAGUUGGUCGGUCGUGCCUCGGUACGUACUGGUCAAAUUGAUUCCUACCUUCUGACGAACCACGAUGUCAUUAAUUUGGUGUCGUGGGAAAUCAGGACUGUUACUUUGAAAAAAUUAGAGUGUUUAGAGCAGGCUCGCGCUUGAAUACAUUAGCAUGGAAUAAUGAAAUAGGACGUUUGAUUCUAUUUUGUUGGUUUCUAGGAUCGACGUAAUGAUUAAUAGGGAUAGUUGGGGGCAUUAGUAUUCAAUUGUCAGAGGUGAAAUUCUUGGAUUUAUUGAAGACUAACUACUGCGAAAGCAUUUGCCAAGGAUGUUUUCAUUAAUCAAGGACGAAAGUUAGGGGAUCGGAGACGAUCAGAUACCGUCGUAGUCUUAACCAUAAACUAUGCCGACUAGGGAUCGGAUGAUGUUAAUUUUUUAAUGACUCAUUCGGCGCCUUACGGGAAACCAAAGUGUUUGGGUUC
rnacentral:rRNA from 1 species